AAACCGAGUCUUAACUGGGCGUUCAGUCUCUGGAUAUAGACCCGAAACCAGGUGAUCUAGCCAUGGGCAGGUUGAAGGUUGAGUAACAUCAACUGGAGGACCGAACCGACUAAUGUUGAAAAAUUAGCGGAUGACUUGUGGCUAGGGGUGAAAGGCCAAUCAAACCUGGAGAUAGCUGGUUCUCCCCGAAAGCUAUUUAGGUAGCGCCUCGGACGAAUACUACUGGGGGUAGAGCACUGUUAAGGCUAGGGGGUCAUCCCGACUUACCAACCCUUUGCAA
rnacentral:rRNA from 1 species